AGAUUUAGUAUAUUUUUUUUAGUAUUUCUUAUUGUCUGUAAGUAGGUUUUGUCUU
rnacentral:tRNA from 1 species